rnacentral:rRNA from 1 species
GACGAACGCUGGCGGCGUGCCUAAUACAUGCAAGUCGAACGCAGUGGGGACGGGUGAGUAACACGUGGGUAACCUCCCAUCAGAGGGGAUAACACUUGGAAACAGGUGCUAAACCGGUACCAUAGGAUGAGCACAAGUGGGAUUAGGUAGUUGGUGAUGUAACGGCUCACCAAGGCCACGAUGCAUAGCCGACCUGAGAGGGUGAUCGGCCACACUGGGACUGAGACACGGCCCAGACUCCUACGGGAGGCAGCAGUAGGGAAUCUUCGGCAAUGGACGAAAGUCUGACCGAGCAACGCCGCGUGAGUGAAGAAGGUUUUCGGAUCGUAAAACUCUGUUAUUAGGGAAGCGGUACCUAUUCAGAAAGCCACGGCUAACUACGUGCCAGCAGCCGCGGUAAUUC